rnacentral:rRNA from 1 species
AGCAGCCGCGGUAAUUCCAGCUCAAUAGCGUAUAUUAAAGUUGUUGCAGUUAAAAAGCUCGUAGUUGAAUUUCGGGGUUAGUAGGUUGGUCAUGCCUCUGGUAUGUACUGGUCUCACUGAUUCCUCCUUCCUGAUGAGCCGUAAUGCCAUUAAUUUGGUGUUGCGGGGAAUUUGGACUGUUACUUUGAAAAAAUUAGAGUGUUUAAAGCAAGCUAACGCUUGAAUACAUUAGCAUGGAAUAAUGAAAUAGGACGUUCGAUCCUAUUUUGUUGGUUUCUAGGAUUGACGUAAUGAUUAAUAGGGAUAGUUGGGGGCAUUAGUAUUCAAUUGUCAGAGGUGAAAUUCUUGGAUUUAUUGAAGACUAACUACUGCGAAAGCAUUUGCCAAGGAUGUUUUCAUUAAUCAAGAACGAAAGUUAGGGGAUCGAAGACGAUCAGAUACCGUCGUAGUCUUAACCAUAAACUAUGCCGACUAGGGAUCGGAUGAUGUUAAUUUUUUAAUGACUCAUUCGGCGCCUUACG